UACGUAGGGUCCGAGCGUUGUCCGGAAUUAUUGGGCGUAAAGAGCUCGUAGGCGGUUUGUCGCGUCUGCUGUGAAAUCCCGAGGCUCAACCUCGGGUCUGCAGUGGGUACGGGCAGACUGGAGUGCGGGAGGGGAGAAUGGAAUUCCUGGUGUAGCGGUGGAAUGCGCAGAUAUCAGGAGGAACACCGAUGGCGAAGGCAGUUCUCUGGGCCGUAACUGACGCUGAGGAGCGAAAGCGUGGGGAGCGAACAGG
rnacentral:rRNA from 1 species